UGGGGAAUUGUUCACAAUGGGCGCAAGCCUGAUGACGCAACGCCGCGUGGGGGAUGAAGGCCUUCGGGUCGUAAACCCCUGUCGAAUGGGACGAAAAGCCCGCGAUUUAACAAAACGCGGGACUGACGGUACCGUUAAAGGAAGCCACGGCUAACUCUGUGCCAGCAGCCGCGGUAAUACAGAGGUGGCAAGCGUUGUUCGGAAUUACUGGGCGUAAAGGGCGCGUAGGCGGCCUUCUAAGUCAGACGUGAAAUCCCCCGGCUUAACCUGGGAACUGCGUCUGAUACUGGGAGGCUUGAGUAUGGGAGAGGGAUGUAGAAUUCCAGGUGUAGCGGUGAAAUGCGUAGAUAUCUGGAGGAAUACCGGUGGCGAAGGCGGCAUCCUGGACCAUAACUGACGCUGAGGCGCGAAAGCUAGGGGAGCAAACGG
rnacentral:rRNA from 1 species